UGCGCAGAGAUAUGGAGGAACACCAGUGGCGUAGGCGAAUUUCUGGUCUGUAACUGACGCUGAUGUGCGAAAGCGUGGGGUUCAAACUGGAUUAGAUACCCUGGUAGUCCACGCCGUAAACGAUGAGUGCUAAGUGUUUGGGGGUUUCCGCCACUUUGUGCUGCAGCUUUCGCAUUAAGCACUGCGGGUGGGGAGUUCGAGCGCAAGGUUGAUUCUCAAUGGUUUUGUCGGGGACGGGGU
rnacentral:rRNA from 1 species